rnacentral:rRNA from 1 species
ACGGAGGGUGCAAGCGUUAUCCGGAUUCACUGGGUUUAAAGGGUGCGUAGGUGGGUUAGUAAGUCAGUGGUGAAAUCUCCGGGCUUAACUCGGAAACUGCCACUGAUACUAUUAAUCUUGAAUACUGUGGAGGUCAGCGGAAUAUGUCAUGUAGCGGUGAAAUGCAUAGAUAUGACAUAGAACACCAAUAGCGAAGGCAGCUUACUACACGAUCAUUGACGCUGAGGCACGAAAGCGUGGGGAGCAAACAGGA